rnacentral:lncRNA from 1 species
CUGAAGAAAAUGCUAAGAGACAAAUUCCUGGUUCACAGAAGGAAAAGGCUGACCAUGGAAAAGGUUGAGAUUUAUGCAUGAUCGAUAGCGCACCCUCACCCAUGUAGUGACUGCAAAUAUGCAAAGGUGAUCAGGUGAAUAUAUAAGCCUGUGCCAUUGAGUGUUUCAUGUUCAAGUGCAAAAAACAAUGAGCCAACAAUCUUUCCCACAAUUCUAGAAUCCGACAUACGGUGCACUUAAACCAUGAUGAAAGCCCAUACAACUCCAAAACAAAGAAACAAAAGUUGUAUGUCCCUGCAAACUCCUACAAGAGUUGUAACAUGGUACCUUUCAUUUCAGAAUCCAAACCUAGCUGGAUAAAUGGUAGCCUCAAGCUGGGCAUCAUAAGUUUGUAUUAUAGCACAAUGAGUUUCAUCGUAAUUCAGGUGCUAGCGGAGCGAGUUGCAGAGUACACAUCAAGAGUAUCCGAAUGCGGUAAUAAGAAUGAAACAUUGCUGCCAUUUAGAUGGUUACUGAAGAUUCAAAACAUGUGAACCUACAGCAGGAUCCUUCAUACCGCAACUUCAGUUCGCAGUUUCCCUUGGCAAGCAGCUGCGUAGGCAUCGGCAAGGCCUGGAAGAACAUGCCUAUGAGCAUCUAUAUACUUGAGCUGAAACGUGUUCUCACUAGCCGUGACCAUCGGGUAGAAGCUCUGAUCUUUCUGAAUCAAUCCUUUCUCCUGGAGCACCUUCAUCACGUAAUGCCGAGGGACAAGUCGGCACUCCAGGCUGUACAUCAGGAUUGAGGGCCUGGUAAGGAUGUACCUGGUGUCAACACCGACCACCUUGGUCAGGAACUCCUUAACACGGCGAAGCUUCUCCCCAGAGAUCCUCAGCACCGUUGGGUUCAUCCUCACCACCUUGGCCACCUCGGCCUCGGACCACCCGAGGAUCUCCUCGAAGAGCUUGAGCUUGGCUGCCAUUGUCUCGACCCCAAGGCUCGUCGUCGUGGUCACAGCCUGCCUGAACAUAAGCGAACCGCGAGGCACUCCGAGCUUAUCAGCACGCUCCAGGAUGGACAUUAGGGUCUUGGGGCUGCUGGUGAGCAGUCUCGAGUUGGGCACGCACAUCUUGGCAAUAUCGGCAGCACUUACCCCACUCUCCCGUAGCACCGCGAUGUUGGGCUUCACCACCCGCUCGAGGUCCGACGUGAGCAGGUAAUAGUUGCCCUUGAGGAUGCGGAUGAACUUCUCCGGCGACCCCAGGAAGGGCAACCAGAACCCGAGCUUCUCCUGGAUGCUGACGGAGCGGAAGACGCCGGGGGUCAUGCGGAGGAAGGUCCGGACGUGGUCUUCGGAGAGGCCAUAGCCGCGUAAGAUGGCGACGCGGGCCUUGAGGGUGUCGUCGACGCUGCAGUUGAGGAUCCGCGGGUCGCGGGCGACGAUGUGGGCGAUGUCGGCCUUGGAGAAGCGGAGGGUGGGGCCGGCGAGGUAGGCGAGGACGGACUCGGCGUUGGAGGUGGACUUGCAGUGGGAGACGUGCUUGGCGGCCUUGAGGGCUUGCUCCGGCGUGAGGCCGCAGGUGGUGACGAGGUAGUCGUCGACGGCGAAUGGGGCCGGCGGGGCGUCGGUGGCCGCCGAGGUGGACAAGAGGGCCCGACGGAGAGAGAAGAUCACGGGUGAAGCUGGGAGACGGAGCGAGAACAGUUGCUUGUGGAAGAGAAGCAUCGCGGCGGCGGCGGCGGCGGCGGCGGAGUAUGUAUUGCAGGAGAGUCCGCCGCUCCGUCUUUGACCUCUUGUGGCCUCGCAGCAAAACUACUUUAAUCCUACAAGUUGUUGGGCCCGAUUGGGAGAACGAAAACUCUAGUCCAGUUCACUCUUGGGCCUAAAAUGACACCACUUUAUUCCUACAAGUUGUUGCUCUCCUACCACCACUCAAAAAAAAGUUGUUGUUCUCCUACAAGGGGAAUUCAUCAAGGAGAUCCAAUCUCUUCAUAUCUUUUCUUGUUGGCAGCAGAGGGUCUUUCGUGUCUCUUAAAAGGUAAAGAAUCGGGCUUCGAUGGUCAGUGGGAUUAAAGUGAUGGAAUCGGCACCACCGAUAAGCCAUUUACUCUUUGCGCAUGACUGCAUGUUUGUUCGUCAAGGCCAGAUGUGAGGGAGCUAGUUUGGUGUCUUCUUUGUUGGAUACUUUUUUUUGCGAGAUUUCUUUGUUGGAUACUUAUUGUCAGGCAUCUAGGCAGAAAAUUAAUCAUGAUAAGUCAUCGGUUUUGUUUAGCAAGGGUUGCUUAUAGACAGAUAAAGAGGAAAUGAAAACUAUCCUAAACAUUCAGAAUGAGAGCUUAUCUGAGAAAUAACUGGGCAUGCGUACUGAUGUAGCAAGAAUGGGGCCUUUAAGUAUUUGAAAGAAAGAGUAUGGAGCAAAGUAAAAGUAUGGAUGGAAAAAAUUCUAUCGGGUGGAAAGGAAGUGCUAAUUAAGUCAAUUGUCCAAGCAGUACCAGUUACUACUCUGAGGAUUGUGCCACCACAUCAACUCCAUCAUUCGAAAAUUCUGGUGGGGUAGUCGGCGGGGCGAACAAAAAACAUGUUGGGUCUCAUGGGAGGUAAUGACGAGACCAAUAUAUCAAGGAGGGUUGGGAUUUAGAGAUAUUGAGAUUUUCAACAUCGCCCUACUCGCUCGGCAAGCUUGACGAAUUUUGCAAUCUCCAAGACACCCUAAGCGUAAAAAUUUUAAAAGCUCUUUAUUUUCCAAUGACUGACUUCCUUGAUGCAGAGCUUGGCACCCAACCUUCUCAAAUCUGGAGGGCGAUCAUAGAGGGAAACAUAAUUGGUUGCCUAGGGAUACAUCCAUGCGCCCCGUUGUUUGCCUAACACCGCAGCGACAUGAACAAGUGUCAGACUUGAUAAAUGCUACGACAUCGAGUUGGAAGGUAGAGGAAAUUCGGGAAAUGUUCCUCCCAAUGGACGCAGAAACGAUCCUGAAAAUCCCACUGUCCACAAGGUGUUCGCAAAAUUUAUGGGCAUGGGUUCAUGAAAAGAAAGGAAGCUUUUCAGUAGAUUCACGUACAAAAUGCUGAUCACAACGAAGUUAAGCAGGGAAGCGUGACUUGAGGGCCACGGCGGAUCCUCGGAUGUCAAUGGAGAGCAGGAAAACUGGACUAAGCUGUGGAAAACUACUGUCUCUUCCAAGCUUAAAGUGUCCCUUUGGAGAUUGGCGCGAUGUUCGCUGCCAACAUCUGACCUGUUAAGCCACCGUAACAUGUCGACCUCGUCCCAGUGUGCAGUUUGUGGAGAAGACAACUCUUGGAUGCAUUCACUACUCCGCUGCACAAUGGUGCAAUGCGUUUGGGCCUUAGCCGACCAAAAGCUCCUAGAACAUAUGCUAGCUACUGCUAAAUUUAAUGCAAAGAGCUAGCUUUUCUUGAUGCGAGACUCGGUAUUGCAUGCAGAUUUUACACAGCUAACCGUGACUCUCUGGUCAAUUUGGUCAGCUCGGCGUAAAGUUAUCCACGAAGGAGAACACCAAAGCCCCAUGGCCACUCAUUUGUUUACCCAGAGAUACUUGAAAGAUCUAGACCUAGCCUCGCCAAAACAAUCAUCCCAACCUGGACACCAACCUCCAGCACAAGCUCAUUCAUGGAUCCCUGCCCCCACGUGGCUACAGCAAGGUCAAUGUUGAUGCGGCCAUAUGUAAGAAUAUGCAAGUUGGAGCUAUUAGUGCAGUUUGCAGGAAUGAGCCGGGCGUUUAUCUUGACUCCUCAGCCUUCAUGGUUUGAUGGAUCCAAAUACGCUAGAAGCCGUUGCUUGUCCUGAGAGUCGCCUUAGAUUGCAGCAAUGUUGUAUCAGACAUAAACACAGGGACAUUCAGAAUCAUCGCUCCAGUGGUGAAGGAGAUCAACGGAACGGCCACUGAAUUUCUUUCUCGCUCUUUCAUCCAUGAAAGUCACCUUUCAAAUAUGGGGGCGCAUUAUAUAGCUAAACAUGCUUUACACUCAUAUGAGGGACGCCAUUUGUAGCUGAUACAUCCCUAUGACAAUUCUGUAAUUCCUAUGAACCUUUCUUUUGAGCAAUAAUGUAAAAGCAUGUUACCCCUCAAAAAAAUUGUUGCUCUCCUCUCUUCUCGAAAAAAUUUGUUGCUCUCCUCGAGGGAGGGGAACGAAUGGCACCAGGGGUGUAGGUGCACCCCUUUUUAAAAACAAAUUAGUAACUACAAAAAUGGUAAAAAAAAACAUGAACUUUUUUACAACAAACUUGUUCAAGCGUUACACUCAUAUAAUUUUUUUGCGAAGAAAUGACUUCCGUGGUAUUGUUGGUAAAAACAAAAUCGGCACUAUAUUGGAUUUCUUAUUCACUCUAUAUUGUCCUUGUCUUCGCUCAGAUUUUCUACCGGAGUUUUUCUUCGUGAAAUUUUUUAUGUGAGCACGCCAGUAGGUCAAGUUUGUUCGGGAAAAAAAAUCAAAGAUUUUGACAUUUUCCUGAAUUGCUAAAAAAAUCCCGAAACUUUUUAUUAGGUUCAUCUACUAUCAGGUGUAUCAGGGUAUUUUCCUCCCCUCGAGCUACUAUAUUGGGUUUAACUAUCACUAUUCUAUUCUAAAAAGUGUCACUACUUGGGCUAAGCUCAGACAAUUUGAUCUUACAUUCAGUCUCAAAGUUGUCUAAAAAACAUACUCUCAAAGGUUUCUAAAAAGGGGGGGGGGUGACAUACAGUCUCAAAGGGUUAUACAACUUCCCAGGAAUUUUUUUGGAAGGGUUAUCCAAUUAAGUAAGCAAUUGGUUCGAUGUUUAGGACUCAAGAGGGUCGUGGUACCCAGUUCAUCGGGAUCAAACCUCAAGUUUGGCGCUUUGAUGUCUCAUUCAUGCGGAUUAGUCUUACACCGGUAAACAACAUUUCCGUAGAUAGCAAGACGACUGUGAUGACUUCAUCAGUCUUAAAGCUCCGCAACUUCGAUCUUCGGUAGAUGUGCGAGUGUGUGUGUGUGCGCGCGCGUGCAUGCCUACAUUGUGGUAAAGUGUUUCUUAAGAAAAACGAAACUAAAAAAGCAAUCACCAACCAUGGCUAUUUUGUCAUGUCAGAGUGGUUAUUGUGCUACAAAGAAGUCUGGGUGACCCCCUUAGACUUGUCAUAAGAUUCGCCUUACAAUCACAAAUUUGGUUUGGUUCACUUUAUCCGUGAUGAAACUUCGUACUUUACCACGUUCGUUCUUCCUUGACUAGUUUUGACAUGUUUGUCUCUGUUUUUUUUUCUUAGUCAGCAAUGUCAUAUCGCAUUUUUUUUCUCUUAUCGUCACAUCAUCUAGUUUCUCUCUACCUAAAACUAAAACAAUGUGUUUCUCUCAAACUAUAUCUCAAUUUCAGGUACAAUUUUACUAUAAGGUUCACCGAAUUACAAUUGAUUUACAAUUUUUUAGAAACAUCUACUGUUGUCUGAAUUUUGAACCAAAAACUUCAAACUUGAAACUAAAACAUGUUACAGUACAUACAUAACAGAAAAUUAUAAAAAUUAUCAAGUAAAUUGUUUAUAGUUCACGGGCCAAUAUGAUGAUAUUAUAGAUAAACCGAUAUGCAGGUUAAGAGAAACUUCUUGCUUUAAUUUCAAGCUCAACUUUUGGGUUCAAAACUUCAAAAUCCAGACAACUUUUUUUCCCUUUAAAAAUGCCAGUAAAUUGAGCAUAAUUCACCGACAAACUAUUGGCAUAAGAUUUGAGAGUAACCUUCUAUUUUAAUUUUAGUUGUGAGGAGAGAGAAAUGGCAUGAUAGAGGGGGGGGGGGAUAUGUGAUGUGGCACCACUAACUAGGACAAAAUUGGAGUCAAGCAGGUCAAAACCAGCUAAAUAGGGACGAAGGAUUGUAAAAUGAAGGGGUUUCAUGAUUCGGAGGGGUAAACUGCAAAACAAAGUUUGGGAUUGUAAAGUAAACCCUAGGACAAGUUUAGGGAGUGCUAUGGACUUCUCUCAUCACACUAUGGGCUAUCUAGACAGGGCAACAGAGCAUUAUCCAACUUAAAAGGCAAUCACUAAACAAAAUGCAGCCACUCAAAAGGUUGCAUACAGACCCCGGGAAGCUCUGAGUAGUCUGUACUCCGUCCGUAAAGAAAUAUAAAGGUUAUAUUUCUUUACGGAGGGAGUAUUUUUCUUUAAUGGUCUAUUUUUUAUUAGAAUGUCUUCCAGAAAUCAGACAAAAUACUGAAAUAAUUCAGACUUGCUAAUCCCUCAGUUGCCUAGAAUUUUCGUAAAUGUCAGUCACCUGAAAUUGCACCUUGGUUAGUACUCCGAUCAUGGAAAUUUAGUGUGAGUUUGAAUCCAUAGUUGAUAUAGUACAAAAUUAGAUGAGAUGUGAAUUGUUGGAUGUUGACCCAAAGGCUUAAAAAGGUUUUUGAAUCAAAGGGGAUUCCCCCAGCCCCAACUUUUUAUUAAAGCAGAGCGAAACAGCCAGAACUACUCCCUCUGUUCACUUUUAUAAGACUUUGAAGACAUUUCAGACAAUGUAUAAAACAGCUCAUCUUGAGUUGUCUGAAAUGACUUACAAAAGUGAACAUUUGAACAACUCUCACUCACAACCAGAAAAAGCUGCAACGGGAUUAUUACAACGUUUUUUUAACAGCAGCAAACAGUCAGGACUCAGGCCAGGCGCUCAACAUGAGGAAGCAAGAGAACAUAUACAUCAUAAAUGGACAACGCUAGCCACAAGAAGAGCUGCCAAGAGUCGACCCAAGUUAUCCUAAGGAGCCCCCUUCGAUGAUGAUCGAGUAGGCGCAGACAUUUGAGGAGCAGUGAAGCUUGAGCAUCGUCGCAAAGCACCCUCCAUUGACGCACAAAAGAUCCUAUCAUGCCCAGAACACACUUCAGACUUCGCCAAGAACGCCCUGAAAGACAAAUUCAUUUCGAAGCACCUUACAGAAUAGACUCCCAAAAUAUUUUUUGCUGGGUCAGAUUGUGAUCAGUGGCACUGGCAUGCAUACAUGUAUACAUAGGAACCAUUCACAGAAUGCAUCCAAUUCAGUACUCUUCCCCUAAAAAGGAAAAUCAAAUUCAGUACUCACAUUGGUUGUCAAACAAAACUUAGCGGAUGAUCUGUUCCAUCUCAAUUUACUGUAGCGGGUAAUUCAGCACGCAUACAAUGAUUACAUUUAUUAAAUUCUAACUGAUCUACCUGAAGAAAAUGCUAAGAGACAAAUUCCUGGUUCACAGAAGGAAAAGGCUGACCAUGGAAAAGGUUGAGAUUUAUGCAUGAUCGAUAGCGCACCCUCACCCAUGUAGUGACUGCAAAUAUGCAAAGGUGAUCAGGUGAAUAUAUAAGCCUGUGCCAUUGAGUGUUUCAUGUUCAAGUGCAAAAAACAAUGAGCCAACAAUCUUUCCCACAAUUCUAGAAUCCGACAUACGGUGCACUUAAACCAUGAUGAAAGCCCAUACAACUCCAAAACAAAGAAACAAAAGUUGUAUGUCCCUGCAAACUCCUACAAGAGUUGUAACAUGGUACCUUUCAUUUCAGAAUCCAAACCUAGCUGGAUAAAUGGUAGCCUCAAGCUGGGCAUCAUAAGUUUGUAUUAUAGCACAAUGAGUUUCAUCGUAAUUCAGGUGCUAGCGGAGCGAGUUGCAGAGUACACAUCAAGAGUAUCCGAAUGCGGUAAUAAGAAUGAAACAUUGCUGCCAUUUAGAUGGUUACUGAAGAUUCAAAACAUGUGAACCUACAGCAGGAUCCUUC